rnacentral:rRNA from 1 species
UUUUUAUUUUUAUUUUAUUUUAUUUCAAAUAAAAUAAGAAUUUGAUUGGGGUGAUAUAAAAAUUUAUGAAACUUUUUUUAUUAUAUUCAUGUAUAAAUGAAUUAAAUUUAACUUUAAAUUAAAAAUUUAGAUUAAAA